UCCGGUUUGACACCGGCAGUCCCGCUAGAGUGCGCACCCCGAAGGGUACUAGCAACUAAGGGCGAGGGUUGCGCUCGUUGCGGGACUUAACCCAACAUCUCACAACACGAGCUGACGACAGCCAUGCAGCACCUGUGUGCAGGUCCCCGAAGGGAAGGAGCCCGUCUCCGGACACCGUCCUGCCAUGUCAAGGGCUGGUAAGGUUCUUCGCGUUGCUUCGAAUUGAACCACAUGCUCCACCGCUUGUGCGGGCCCCCGUCAAUUCCUUUGAGUUUUAAUCUUGCGACCGUACUCCCCAGGCGGAAUGCUUAAUGCGUUAGCUGCGCCACCAACGGGCAAGCCCGCCGACGGCUGGCAUUCAUCGUUUACGGCGUGGACUAC
rnacentral:misc_RNA from 1 species